UGUUAGAAACUAAAGCUGUUUUGCUGUUGUCGGGUGGAUCACGAUGCAAUUUUGAUUAGUUUAGUAGGAGAAAAAUUGCACGGUAUCCAUCUGUAAACCGCAGGACCUUCAUCGCUGACAAUGUA
rnacentral:pre_miRNA from 13 species